rnacentral:rRNA from 1 species
GAGUAAUUCAUCGGAACGUGCCCAGUCGUGGGGGAUAACUACUCAAAAGAGUAGCUAAUGCCGCAUACGAUCUGAGGAUAAAAGCGGGGGACCUUCGGGCCUCGCGCGAUUGGAGCGGCCGAUGGCAGAUUAGGUAGUUGGUGGGAUAAAAGCUUACCAAGCCGACGAUCUGUAGCUGGUCUGAGAGGACGACCAGCCACACUGGGACUGAGACACGGCCCAGACUCCUACGGGAGGCAGCAGUGGGGAAUUUUGGACAAUGGGCGAAAGCCUGAUCCAGCAAUGCCGCGUGCAGGAUGAAGGCCUUCGGGUUGUAAACUGCUUUUGUACGGAACGAAAAAGCUUCUCCUAAUACGAGAGGCCCAUGACGGUACCGUAAGAAUAAG